AGAGUUUGAUCCUGGCUCAGGAAACGCUAGCGGCGUGCCUAAUACAUGCAAGUCGAGCGCGGGAAGCGAGUGGAUCCCUUCGGGGUGAAGCUCGUGGAACGAGCGGCGGACGGGUGAGUAACACGUGGGCAACCUGCCUGUAAGAUCGGAAACCCCGGGAAACCGGGGCUAAUGCCGGGUAAUACUUUCUUUCGCAUGAAGGAAAGUUGAAAGAUGGCUUCUCGCUAUCACUUACAGAUGGGCCCGCGGCGCAUUAGCUAGUUGGUGAGGUAACGGCUCACCAAGGCGACGAUGCGUAGCCGACCUGAGAGGGUGAUCGGCCACACUGGGACUGAGACACGGCCCAGACUCCUACGGGAGGCAGCAGUAGGGAAUCUUCCGCAAUGGACGAAAGUCUGACGGAGCAACGCCGCGUGAACGAUGAAGGUCUUCGGAUCGUAAAGUUCUGUUGUUAGGGAAGAACAAGUACCGUGCGAAUAGAGCGGUACCUUGACGGUACCUAACGAGGAAGCCCCGGCUAACUACGUGCCAGCAGCCGCGGUAAUACGUAGGGGGCAAGCGUUGUCCGGAAUUAUUGGGCGUAAAGCGCGCGCAGGCGGUUCCUUAAGUCUGGUGAAAGCCCACGGCUCAACCGUGGAGGGUCAUUGGAAACUGGGGAACUUGAGGACAGAAGAGGAGAGUGGAAUUCCACGUGUAGCGGUGAAAUGCGUAGUGUGGAGGAACACCAGUGGCGAAGGCGACUCUCUGGUCUGUUUCUGACGCUGAGGUGCGAAAGCGUGGGUAGCAAACAGGAUUAGAUACCCUGGUAGUCCACGCCGUAAACGAUGAGUGCUAGGUGUUAGGGGGCUUCCACCCCUUAGUGCUGAAGUUAACGCAUGCACUCCGCCUGGGGAGUACGGCCGCAAGGCUGAAACUCAAAGGAAUUGACGGGGGCCCGCACAAGCGGUGGAGCAUGUGGUUUAAUUCGAAGCAACGCGAAGAACCUUACCAGGUCUUGACAUCCUUGGACAACCCUAGAGAUAGGGCUUUCCCUUCGGGGACCAAGUGACAGGUGGUGCAUGGUUGUCGUCAGCUCGUGUCGUGAGAUGUUGGAAGUCCCGCAACGAGCGCAACCCCUAAUCUUAGUUGCCAGCAUUCAGUUGGGCACUCUAAAGUGACUGCCGGUGACAAACCGGAGGAAGGCGGGGAUGACGUCAAAUCAUCAUGCCCCUUAUGACCUGGGCUACACACGUGCUACAAUGGAUGGUACAAGCAGCGAAGCCGCGAGGUGUAGCAAAUCCCAUAAAACCAUUCUCAGUUCGAAUUGCAGGCUGCAACUCGCCUGCAUGAAGCCGGAAUCGCUAGUAAUCGCGGAUCAGCAUGCCGCGGUGAAUACGUUCCCGGGCCUUGUACACACCGCCCGUCACACCACGAGAGUUGGCAACACCCGAAGUCGAGGUAACCUUUUUGGAGCCAGCCGAAGGUGGGGCCAAUGAUUGGGGUGAAGUCGUAACAAGGU
rnacentral:rRNA from 1 species